CCCAGGAAGACGUUAACAGCGUUGCUGCCGGUCACGUUUCCUAUGGACGCGUCCGCGUAGGUGUCCUGGACGGCGGCUACCUUACUGGCGAAGUAAUGCGACAGAGAAAAGGAGGGAAAUGCAUGCGGCAAAAGAACCAAAGACGGAGGUCGAGCUCGGGACAGCCACGUUCAGCUUCCUCUGGUCUGAUGAGGCGAACAAGUACCAGACGAUACGACGAGCAACGCCAGCAGCCAAAAGUAGAGGUGCAGAAAAACACUGAUUCUAUGGCGAAUCGCAAUUCCUAGUCCUGGGAAUUCUUGAUUGGAAAUUCUCAAAAGUGGAAUUUAAAAUCCGUUUAAUUUGUACGUGUUUGCCACUGUAGAAGGCAACCAUCAAUAUUACAAAUAUUACAUGAACAAAAAAAAAGGUGAACAGACCUGUCCAGACUGUUUGUGCAUAACAGGCGCCUUAAAGCGAAAGCAAAAACAAAAAACUUUUCAAAAUCUAUCAAUCCAUUUAUGAUUUAAAAAAUACUAUUCUGCAUUAAUUUAAUAUAGAAGCGAAAAACAUAACUACAAUGACCUUUGCUCCAAUGUAAUGUAUUCUAAACGAUCCACUCAAAAGUGUCCCAACUAAACACAAAACAGGAAAUUAACAUUUUUACAAAGUUAGCUGUAACUUAUCUCCAGUUCAACCAGGAGUCAGAUCCAAAAAUAAUUUGGGUGCACAGUAUAUUUUUUUGCGUUAUUUGCAAAUGGAGUCCAUCCAUAUGUAAUUUAGUCUCGGUGUGACCAGAGGUGUUUUUAUGAAAGUCUCUUAUUGGGAGCAUAAACAGGCCAGAGAUACAGUUCUUGGAGAACUUUCAAGCCAAAUUAUGUUGCAUUGAAAACAACAAGGAGACUAAGCUGCUCAGUUCAGGUGGGACAAAAACUGAGCCUUCUGGACUAUAUCCAAAAUGCGCAUCGGAAAGCUAACCCUGCAUGGACACCAAAUGAAGAUGUAAAAUGGUGGAGCAAAAAUCUGAAACAUUAAGCAGCACCCCGAGUUCAAAUCUUCAGCAAAAAUCUUAAUAAAACAGUCUCUGCAAGGCAGGUCAUGUUGUGGAUUGGUCACAGCGCUCAGCCCACAGCUGCGAUGCCUCCACACGUUUUCUACAGUAGAUUGUGUGAUGUUGGGCCAGCGAGAUUCGUCGCCGUUAAAACACUUAAAAAGGGAAUUCGAUUUCUGUUCAGUUUUAUCUUUUCUGUCUGCCGCUGGAAACGAUUUGACUGAUGGGAUCACGCUCAGAUUAAGCGGCACUUUUAUUUCCAAAUCAGACGGCAGCAGCCGCCGUGAAACGCGUCGCUGGUCACAUAAAUACAGGGUAAUGCAGAAAGCGUAAAAUACAUGGAAGUCUGUGGCUGGAAAGUAACAUAUUGAGACUGCGUACUUUUGAGAGAAACUUUAAGAGGAAGAGACAUUUCGCCCACUUUUUAUUUUUAUUUUUACCGUACACACGUUGAAUCUGCUCUGGUUGGAGCAGAGUUUUUUUU